UACGGGGGGAGCAAGCGUUGUUCGGAUUUACUGGGCGUAAAGGGCGCGUAGGCGGCCACCGCAAGUCGACUGUGAAAUCUCCGGGCUUAACCCGGAAAGGUCAGCCGAUACUGCGGGGCUAGAGUGCAGAAGGGGCAACUGGAAUUCUCGGUGUAGCGGUGAAAUGCGUAGAUAUCGAGAGGAACACCUGCGGCGAAGGCGGGUUGCUGGGCUGACACUGACGCUGAUGAGCGAAAGCAUGGGUAGCGAACAGG
rnacentral:rRNA from 1 species